rnacentral:rRNA from 1 species
CCCUUAGAUGUUCUGGGCUGCACGCGUGUUACAAUCGGGAGUACAACAAGAUUGCAAAUCCUAGUGGAUGAGUGGUUCUUCGAAAUUUUCUGAAGACUGGGAUAGUUGAUUGAAAUUAUUCAACUCAAACGAGGAAUUCCUUGUAAUUGUAAUUCAUUAUAUUGUAAUGAAUACGUCCCUGCCCUUUGUACACACCGCCCAUCGCUCCUACCGAUUGAACGAUCCGGUGAAUUAUUUGGAGUAGCUCUGGAAGUUGCAGAACUUCCUAUGUCACGAAAUUUUGUAAACCUUAUCGUUUAGAGGAAGGAAAAGUCGUAACA